UCAGCCUGGGUAUCAUCCCGAGACCCCCAUAUCAGCACCUCGACUCCGUCUCGGGCUGAUAUGGGGGUCUCGGGAUGAUACCCAGGCUGA
rnacentral:sRNA from 1 species